CCUUCCAGCACCAGACUUCUGGCAUCUGACUUGCUUUGGCUACUAGAGUGGGGAAGAAGUGAUGUGUGAGUUCCAAGCCUCGAGAGACUGUGUUUCUCGUCACCUGCUUCUUCGAAAGGAUAUUUCAGAUGCAGAGUUCUAAGCCUGGGUCCCUGAAUCACCAUGUGGAGAAAAGCUGCCUGCCAACCGGAAACACCAGCAUUGGAACAUAUGGUUCAGAGAAGUGACAAGUUGAAGGUCAUGAUGCUUUUGUUGCCGCAGAGUCCAACAUCAAACACGUGGGACUCGGGUUCAAGCCCUGCCCUGGGAAGAUUCCACAUGCCACGGAGCAACUAAGCCUGUGAACCACAACUGUUGAGCACAUUUGCUGCAACUAUUGAAGCCCACACGCCUAGAGCCCGUACUCUGCAACAAGAGAAGCUGCUACAAUGAGGAGCCCACGCACCACAAUGAAGAGUAGCCCCCACUCGCAGCAACUAGAGAAAGCCCGUGUGCAGCAAUGAAGACCCAAUGCAGCCGAUAAAUAAAUUAAAUAAAUAAAUAAAUAAAUAAAUUUAUUAAAAAAAAAAGAAAUG